AUGCAAAAACAGCGCUUUGAACUCCUUGACUCUUCAACUGCAUAUCCAGGCAUAAUAGAAUUCUUCAACAAUGUAACCAGUAAAUUAAUGAAAAUCUGGAAGCACGUAAGCACAGAGCUACAGCUUUCACAAAAAAACAUCGACCAUUUCAAAAGGGUCAAACUGCAGGUGCCACUUCAAGAAGAAGAAACAAUGGACUGCUCAUUCUAUAUGUACAUGAACCUGAAGCACUACUCCAAUGAUGGAACAGCAGCAACCUUAGAGCCAGAACAAGUACCAGAGUUGAGGAAAAAAUUCUAUAUCAACUAA
rnacentral:rRNA from 1 species